AUAUCUUUUGGAUGAACAACUUCCCUGGCGUCUAUGACGAGCCGUCCGUACAUGCUAUUCGUAAGAAAGCCACUGAAAACUGGAAAUUCUUUAGCGAUUCGGAGAAGGCCCCUUAUCUAGCCAAGGCACGUGUGAACAAAAUACUCCUAGCUGAG